UACAGAGGGUGCAAGCGUUAAUCGGAUUUACUGGGCGUAAAGCGUGAGUAGGUGGCUCGCUAAGUCGAUUGUGAAAGCCCUGGGCUCAACCUGGGGAAUUGCAGUCGAUACUGGAGAGCUAGAGUUCGGUAGAGGGUGACGGAAUUCCCGGGUGUAGCGGUGAAAUGCGUAGAUAGUCGGGAGGAACAUCGAUGGCGAAGGCAAUCACCUGGGCCUGAACUGACACUGAGACACGAAAGCGUGGGUAGCAAACAGG
rnacentral:rRNA from 1 species